rnacentral:rRNA from 1 species
UACAGAGGUCUCAAGCGUUGUUCGGAUUCAUUGGGCGUAAAGGGUGCGUAGGUGGCGUGGUAAGUCGGGUGUGAAAUUUCGGAGCUUAACUCCGAAACUGCAUUCGAUACUGCCGUGCUUGAGGACUGGAGAGGAGACUGGAAUUUACGGUGUAGCAGUGAAAUGCGUAGAGAUCGUAAGGAAGACCAAUGGCGAAGGCGGGUCUCUGGACAGUUCCUGACACUGAGGCACGAAGGCCAGGGGAGCAAACAGG